CCCCCGAGAGAGAGAGAGAGCGACAUUAACGAUAAAAGGAAGGUCACCCACCCCACCCUACCCAGCCUUUCUAUUCCUUCUAUAGGGCGGGCGCGGGCGCUCCAUCGAAGAAUCAAAUCAAUCGUAGCUGAGCUUAGGGUUUUGGGAUUGCGAGAAGAUGGAUGCUAUAGAUUCAGUCGUUGAUCCUCUCAGAGAGUUCGCCUCGUCAAGCGUUCGCCUCGUGAAGCGUUGCCACAAGCCCGACCGCAAAGAGUUCACGAAGGUGGCUUUCCGUACAGCCAUCGGCUUUGUGGUGAUGGGAUUCGUUGGCUUCUUUGUUAAGCUGAUUUUCAUCCCGAUUAACAAUAUCAUCGUCGGAUCUGGCUAGGCUAAUGAAACUAUUACUGAGUUGUUUUUCGGAUCCAGCCCAAUGAAGAAUUGCCGAUGUUUCUUUUAAGUUCUCCAGAUUUUUCCGGGUUACCAUGAACACACAACAGUUAGGAUACUCUUGAACUUGAUCUUGUACUUGACAUGCAUUUGAUCUGGGGAUUAUUAUUUUUUUUUGCUACUGUUAAAAGCUGAAUGCUAGCCAUAUAAAUGUACGGUCUCAGAAAAUAAAAAAAUAAAAAAAAAAUGGUGUUAGCUCUGUCAUGCCAUGCCUAACCAACGAACUAACUAGUCAUGAUUUUUCAACAUCUCUGGUUGUUUUUUGGAGGAGUCCCAUUCUCCUUCCGAUGGCCACAUCUUCGAGGUAUAAUAACUAAAUGUCGGUAUAUGCACCAUUAUGCUUCUUGCAUCUCAUUCGAUUAGAAACUUCAUUGAUAGACUAUUUCUCAGCUUGGAUGGAAAUGGGUUAUUUACAGCUUUGGGCGCUUCCCACCUCAGGGACUCUGAUACUUGUAUCACGUGCUGAGAUUUGUUUGGAUUUCGACCUUACAAUUCAUCGGUCUGUGUCACAUGUCACUCCCUCGACAUAGGGAGAACGUGUCACCCAAGUGUAAAUCCCAGCCGUGCUGCAAGGUUCCAUUGUCCUAUGAAUUGCAUGCCGACACAUUGUGAACUGUGUAGUAAGCUGGAUUUAAACUUGUAGCAAGCACCUCUAGAUCUGUAUCAAUGAUUAGCUUUGUUUUGUUUGACGACUAGUAUCGCUUGGCUAUGAAUCCGAUCUAUUACUUGGAUCAGCUCGCUACAUUGGAGAAUCCGAUCAUUUGGAGCUGGAAUCACAGUUGAGAAGAACACAUACGUGGUUGACAAAAUAAUGUCGAAAUUAUGAGUAGUUUGCGAAUAGAUUGGAUAAUGAGGGUUAUUGGAGGUCUCUAUUCCUUUAUCAUCCUUGCUUGCUUGCUUUUUACUUUGUUUUUUCACUUUGACAUUCCAAACAUUAAUUUGGCGCUACCAGCAUAAAGAUGACUCAAUCUGACUGAAUUCAAGAACAUGAAUUAUUGGCGGAUCAAAUCUAUCUUUGGCAAAUGAAAGGAUCCUGCUAAUUUGCAUAAUUACAUAUGUUUCAGUCAAGAAGACUACAGCUCACUUCACGUCAAAAGGCAUUUCAAAACAUUCACAUUGGUCUUCAGGCAGGCAUCAGAAAGGGGACGAAAUGAGUAUUAACCUCUACAAUAUUCCGGAAUGCAUCAUGGCCUUAACAAUCAUAUUUGGAAAAACCAAAAGAAAAGGAGGGAAAAAAUUCAGUCUCCACUCUCGAGUUUGGCUCAUCGUCCACACCUGAAAUCCGGCCAGCCAUACCCCACACACGCAUUCGGCCGAGGCGAGAACCUCAUCCAAAAUGCUUGCAUUGCAUUGGGUUGGGGAUGAGGUUUGAUGAUCCUCCUGUAUGUGACUUGACAGGGAAGCGUGUGAACCUUUUGCAGUAAGACGAUGAAUAUAGUCAGAGGAGAUCGCAGCAGCCGCACAUGUCAAUCUGUGGGUGUGGAUGUGUAGCUGACAUUGGAAGGACGGGUUGAAUUAGGGCAUUCGAUAAAGCUGAAGCUAAUAUAUUAUGAGACUUCACUUUGGAGCUUGGCAGUGAGCAUAUAUAAGAAUAUGAGAGCUUCUAUGCAUCGUUGAAAAUCCAGGAGUUGGCCAGUGGCCACCAUCAUUAUCAUUCAAGAUUCGGUUGCCUAUU